AGGACGAACGCUGGCGGCGUGGAUUAGGCAUGCAAGUUGAGCGACGGUUAGGCUUCGGCUUAAUACGGAGCAGCGAACGGGUGAGUAACACGUGAACAAUCUGUCCCUUCAUUCCGGAUAAUUGGUCGAAAGGCCUUGUAAUACGGGCGAGGGUCUCUGGAAGGCAUCUUUUGGAGAAGGAAGGCGCAAGCCGUGCAGGGAGGAGUUCGCGGCCUAUCAGUUAGUUGGUGGGGUAAUGGCCUACCAAGACGACGACGGGUAGC
rnacentral:rRNA from 1 species